UACGGGAGGCAGCAGUGGGGAAUAUUGCACAAUGGGCGAAAGCCUGAUGCAGCUAUGCCGCGUGUAUGAAGAAGGCCUUAGGGUUGUAAAGUACUUUCAUCGGGGAGGAAAAAACAAAACUAAUAAUUUUAUUUCUUGACGUUACCCGAAAAAGAAGCACCGGCUAACUCCGUGCCAGCAGCCGCGGUAAUACGGAGGGUGCUAGCGUUAAUCAGAAUUACUGGGCGUAAAGAGCACGUAGGUGGUUUUUUUAAGUCAGAUGUGAAUCCCCUGGGCUUAACCUAGGAACUGCAUUUUGAAACUGAAAUACUAGAGUAUCGUAGAGGGAGGUAGAAUUCUAGGUGUAGCGGUGAAAUGCGUAGAUAUCUGGAGGAAUACCUGUGGCGAAAGCGGCCUCCUAAACGAAUACUGACACUGAGGUGCGAAAGCGUGGGGAGCAAACAGGGAUUAGAUACC
rnacentral:rRNA from 1 species